UACAGACUGAUGUCAUUUUCACAUGGGGCUGGUGCAAAUAAAGAUUUUAUGGAUUAUUAUGGAUUUUGGCAAAGUAUGUCUUGGGGUUUAUUGGUAAAGAGGUCAGUAAAGAGGGUGUGCUUAUGUAACUGGUUAUGAGUUUUUAUUGGGAAAUAAUUUAUCAACAGUUUUGGGACCACUGUUCCCUCUAAGCUGCGCGUGUGCGCAAUUGCGCACUGCUGACACGGUCUCCGCGCACAGAAAAUCUGCGCUGCGCACAAAAAAAAAUCCAACCUAAAUUGUAAAUAAAAUAAACACGUAACAAUUCAUUCUGUGCUAUUUUUCAGUGUGAGUCAGUGAGUGACCGGUGACUGGCUGCUGCAGCCAAUGAUGCGAUUCACAUACGUAUUUACCAUAGACUGUAUAUAAUGGUAUUUACGCAGCUAAUCAACGUCAGGCGUCCUUAUGUGCAGCCACCGUUGUUCUCAUAGAUAUGAAUGAGUAGAUAGGACACGCCCCUUUGAGCUGCGUGCUACAGCGAGGCUAAGCUAGUGGGGGCAAAGUUUCAGUGCAUUCCGUUGAUGUAGACGGCGUGAAAACGGAAACAAGUAUGCCGUCUCACUGUGCUGCAUACAGUUACACACUACGUCGUACGAUUGAGACAAGGAAACUUGGAAUGACUUUUCAUAGGUAAGAAUAGUUUUUGGCUCUUUUUUCAUUAUGAAAUCUUGUUGAGAGCUUCCAGUCUAUGAGAGCUAACUAGUUAGCCACGAGCAAAACACUAAUGCGAGCUAGCAGCUUGACAGGCAAAUACCAGACGAUUAAUAGUAGCUGUAGUAUAGUUGUACAAGCAGUAGUAGUAAUACUAAAAGUACAAGCAGCAGUAGUAGUAUAAACAGCUGUCAGAGUCGUAGAAGUAUCAGCAUUUGUAAUAGUAUUACAAGUUGUAGUAGCAGUGCCAGUAUCAGCAGCAGUAGUGUCCUACCACUACUACUAGUAGUAGUCACAUUGCUAUUACUACCACCAAUACUACCAAUAGUACUUAUAAAGCCUAACUCAUGUAUAUCCAGAUUACCAUCUAUGUUCUUCCUCCAAACCCAUUUUAUGAUUGGGAUUACAGGCAGUUCUUUAGGACUGCUCUCAAAUAAUAGAAAUGUUACUAAACAAGGUUAUACUUAUCAAAUUAAAUAGCUCUGGUCUCCAGUAUACUGGCGAAUUCGGUUAUUUGUACUUAAUUUAUUAGCAUGAUUUCUUUUUAAUAUGUUGUCUACAGACUUAAUUACUUCUCUGUCUACUUUUCUUACUCCAUGUAGGUUUCCCAGAGACUAUGGGUUGAGGAGGAAUUGGAAGUUUGUCGGCUUAGACCUGGUGUCAUUCCAUCAGUGUUAAACUUCCCGGCUCAUCUUGGAAGAGUACGUGCCAGAAAGACCACGACCAAGCAGCCUUGAGAUCUUAGGCAGCGUCUCCCUCAGACCAAAGAACUACAGACUCUUCACAACCUGCUCAAACUCUUGGUACAGGACCUCACCACACGGGUCAAGAAGGUUUCUGUCUCAUUUCUACUCUGAAGCUCACCUUCUCCUGCUCAAACUGCUGACAAAUGUUUCUGCUGCUCUAAAGUCUGGUCUCCAGAACUUCCUAAAAACUCUCAAAGUCUCUUCUGCUGCAGGUUGCUUUGUAGAACUGUUGCAGAAAACCUCACUAAACCACAUGGAGGGGCCUCAAGAUAGUCGUCCAAAUGAAACCAUACAAAAACCAAACUAGCACAACCCAAAUGCUAAAGUCUCCUGCAGCCUACCAGAGAACCUCUGAGAACAGAGAAUCAGGACAGGAACUCUUACCUUCUGGACAAUCAACAUCGGUUCUCAAACAAGAACACAGAAUGUGUCUGAUCAAAAACCUCUAAAGACUCACUACAGCCAAGAUAAAGACACAACUCAGCUGCACCAAAUCCACUAAUCACUGCACACAGUAGCACCAUGUGUUAACUGUGGCUAAAGAACCACAUUUACCAAGACAACUAUCCAGUACAAAGCCCUAAAACACACCAAGAAACACAUUAAAGACGAUGUUACUGCUGGAAGCUGCAAGCCAACACCUAAAGAACAAACUAAAGCAAUGGAGCUAAACCCGGAUCUGUGGUGAAGAGAAUCAGAGGAAAUGUUUGUCUGCAGCUAAAUAAAGCAGGAAGACACUGAGCUGCUCAGGUGUUCCUGAUAACACCUAGCAGCCACCUGGACAGCCAAUAGGAACACAGCCACCUGGACAGCCAAUAGGAACACAGCCACCUGGACAGCCAAUAGGAACACAGCUUCCUGGAAGUCCAGAGGGCUGGGUUAGUGAAGGAAAUUUAGUUUAAAGUUGAGGCAGAAAGUUAACAAAGAAAGCUGAAAACCACCUUCUGAUACCUGAAAUCUCUGAGUUUUCACACAAAGAACACCUGAACAUGUCAAACUGGUUCCAUAGUAGAACCAUCAUUGUAAAAACGUCAUAGUAUGGUGUGUUGCUCAAAAAACAUUAGGACCCGGCUGUCAGGGGACAAACAUGUAAGAAACAUGAGAACAGAGAGAACCCAACCAGUAGGUCACAGUUUAUCAUCCCCCAGUCAUCUCCUGAAGUCCAUAUGGUGAGAGACAUCAGUAUCUGGUUGUUCAUUUACCAGAGGAUGCUUAUAAUCAUGCUGAUGUGGUCUGUACUCGACAGUAUUUUAGUGACUCAAUAAAUGCCUAAGUUGUUUUUUUAAAAAUGCUUUUUAGUUUUUAAUAAACAUUUAAGAGCCUAUAUGUAAUCAAUAAAUGGCCUUUGACUAUCUUAAGAAAAAUUCACUCAGAACUCUGAUAUGUUAACAGUACUAAAUAAAUCAAUAAAUACAUGCAUACACACAAAAAUAAGUUAAUACAUUAACUGUGUUAAGAUAAGAUUUAGAUUUUUCAAAAAGUUGUUUAUGUUUUUGCAGAAUCCAGUAUUACUCACUGGUUGGUCAUUACAUUUUAUUAGUUUGAUUUCACUGUUUAAAAUGAUGCCACCUCUUUUCAGACAGAACCUGUGAUAACAAAACAAUACAAAAUGUUUAGUUCCGUGUUAAUAAAGCACUUAAAGCUGUAAGUAUGGCUAAAUGCUUUUUUCAAAAUUAAAUAUAUCACUCCUUAGGUGGUAGUGGCCCCAAGUUCAGUAAAGUUGGAAAGAUAUUCACAGAUUCAGACUUCCAGCAUCAAUAACUCGUUAGAUAUAGGUUGUCAAAACAUAAACGGUGCCUCUUUCCCAUUGUUGCAAGGCAGACAAUGUGCUACAAGCCCAGUUUUAUCAAAAGUAGCUGUCUUUCAAGCUACAGGAAUAACAUUGGUGUCUAUGGAGUGAACAGGGUCCGUCUGCAAUUUGCAAAACUGCUGCAACAGUAGAGACAAAUAUUCAAUAACUUCACUCUUAUACAUUGUAGUGUCACUAAAAUCACUGCAGCCUUCAACGGGCUCCUGUUGACAAAGUGUCUUAACAGAAAUGUAAAUGCUGUAAUUUGAUUCUUUUAAUGAACCAUGUAACUUGAAUGGAUGUGAUGCUGGUGUGACCACAGUGCACACGUCUGAUGUUGCUAAGAGUGGUCCAAGGGACGCUCAGGGAGUUUGUGUGUUUGCUCAGACUCAUGAAAAAUUACAGGGAACAUUGUUUGGGACUCAAGCAGUUCCUUCUUUUACUCACUAUCUCCCCAGCCUUAGAAAAAAAAAACCUGUUCACACGGCACAGAUGAGGCUGAGGUACACAGGAAAUGUUUGGCUCCAUUGUACAAGUUUGGGUAAACAGUUUUGUGGGUUGCCCAGUAAGCCAGUGGGUCUGCCGUUCUUUCUACAAUUGCAUUCGCUGUGGCGCUUUGCAUUUGCCAGGCUCUACUUGCGUCUUCGUCUAAUAGGCUCCACAGUUGAACUGGAAAAUAUUGAAGAUCAUCAUCAUCAUCACCAGAAAUGUCAGUCAUUCCCUAUUCAGAAGAGAAAAAGAAUACCUGUGGAAGGUGCUGCUGGUGGUGGAGGACGAGGCUGUGGUGGUGCUUGUGACGUAGAUGACUGCUGCUUGGCAUUCUUUAUGUUAAUUGUUGUGCAUUCUGUUAUUAAAUGUUCUUUCACACUG